rnacentral:sRNA from 1 species
CACCGAAGCAACUAUGCCUAGUGUGUAC